rnacentral:rRNA from 1 species
UGAGAGGAGCUUGCUUUUCUUAGCUUAGUGGCGAACGGGUGAGUAACGCGUGAGUAACCUGCCCUGGAGUGGGGGACAACAGUUGGAAACGACUGCUAAUACCGCAUAAGCCCACGGAUCCGCAUGGAUCUGCGGGAAAAGGAGCAAUCCGCUUUGAGAUGGCCUCGCGUCCGAUUAGCUAGUUGGUGAGGUAACGGCCCACCAAGGCAACGAUCAGUAGCCGGACUGAGAGGUUGAACGGCCACAUUGGGACUGAGACACGGCCCAAACUCC